rnacentral:tRNA from 1 species
CAGUAGGUAUUUUAUAAAAAUUUAAUUAUUGGAUAAUUAAGAUAUGAUAUUAGUCAUUUUACUGA